rnacentral:rRNA from 1 species
GACGAACGCUGGCGGCGUGCUUAACACAUGCAAGUCGAACGGAAAGGCCCUGCUUUUGUGGGGUGCUCGAGUGGCGAACGGGUGAGUAACACGUGAGUAACCUGCCCUUGACUUUUGGAUAACUUCAGGAAACUGGGGCUAAUACCGGAUAGGAGCUCCUGCUGCAUGGUGGGGGUUGGAAAGUUUCGGCGGUUGGGGAUGGACUCGCGGCUUAUCAGCUUGUUGGUGGGGUAGUGGCUUACCAAGGCUUUGACGGGUAGCCGGCCUGAGAGCGUGACCGGCCACAUUGGGACUGAGAUACGGCCCAGACUCCUACGGGAGGCAGCAGUGGGGAAUAUUGCACAAUGGGCGGAAGCCUGAUGCAGCAACGCCGCGUGCGGGAUGACGGCCUUCGGGUUGUAAACCGCUUUCGCCUGUGACGAAGCGUGAGUGACGGUAAUGGGUAAAGAAGCACCGGCUAACUACGUG